rnacentral:rRNA from 1 species
UACGUAGGGGUCUAGCGUUGUCCGGAAUUAUUGGGCGUAAAGAGCUCGUAGGCGGUUCGGUAAGUCGGGUGUGAAAACUUUGGACUCAACCCAAAGCCUGCACUCGAUACUGCUGUGACUUGAGUCCGGUAGGGGAGUGGGGAAUUCCUGGUGUAGCGGUGGAAUGCGCAGAUAUCAGGAGGAACACCGGUGGCGAAGGCGCCAUCCUGGACCGGCAUUGACGCUGAGGAGCGAAAGCCAGGGGAGCAAACAGG